GACACCAUCUCCUGGAACUAGAACCCCAACGGCGAAUAUUCGGCCAGCUCAACAUAUUGGGCGCAAUUCCUCGGAUCUUAUCUGAGAUUCUUCCGCGACAAAAUUUGGAAGGCGCAUGCGGAGCCAAAGUGCAAGUUUUUUUCCUGGCUAGUCCUCCACAACCAGAUCCUUACGGCUGACCGGCUCGCCUUGCAUGGCUGGCCACAUGACCCUGUCUGCCGACUUUGCCUCUGCGCCAAUGAGAAUGCAGAACACCUUUGCAAGACCUGCCCGUUCACUUCCGUAGUCUGCAACCUUGUCCUGAAUUGGGUGGGGGAGCUACUUACUUUUGCUCUAGCUGCCGCUUCCCCCUCAAUCGACACCGGAUCUGCUUACUUUUGCUCUAGCUGCCGCUUCCCCCUCAAUCGGCACCUGGUGGGAUGUUGGGCACAAAACUUCGACAACAAUUUGAGAAGGCGUCGCAGCAACUGCCUCAUUGAUACGUCCAUUUUGCGUCAUGCUUUUAUAUCAAUAUUUAUUGCAUUACGGGCUGUUAUUACACAUUAUAUCUCAAUACUUAUGGCUAUUCUCCCUUAUUUUACAAGGUUUACCAUGAAGAGGGGAAAUACCGGCAGCUGGAAUUCUGGCUGGAAAAGGAGCAAACAUUGGAACCCUAUUCUGCACUACUCCAAAAAUCCUGAAACUCCACGAAACAAGUUUUUUGGAAUUAAUAAGAAUUAUUGA
rnacentral:rRNA from 1 species